UCUUUCACUUUGCAAACGGACCCAAAAAAUGGGUUGCCUUCUUCAGGUGUAAACCUCCUAAUGUCCGUUUUUCUCUUUUUUUCUUGCUGCAUAAACCCUUCGUGCUUCCCUAAUACCAGCAUCUUCUGCAACUCCCAAAGCAAAACCUUGUGCGACACAGCAUCAGCGCAAUGCAUCAACAACCAUGAAUCCACGUUUCACCACUGCACAAUUACAAUCCCAUGAGCCUCUCGUGCAUCCUCAAACACAGGAUCUUCCCUCCACCCCCUUCCCCCUUCACCCUCUUCAUCCAACGGCGAUGGAAGAAACCCACCGUCUCCGCCCAAACCCGCUUAGAGGACAGAGUCCGAGAGCCCCACUUGGACAAACUCAUGUCCCACCUCAAAAGACUCGACCUUGUUCUCAGAAUCCACCACCUCAUGUCCGCGCGCAAGCGCGGUCCCUUCGUCUCCCUCACCCUCCUCUCCCGCUGGCGAAACAUCCUCGGACUCCACGUCCCCGUGGGGCCCUUCCUCCGCAAAUACCCCCACGUGUUCCUCGUGUUCGUCCACCCUUUUAGAAAAAACACGUGCUGCAGGAUCACCAAAAGGAUGAAAGAGUUGAUCUUGCUCGAAGGGCUGGUGGUUAAGCAGCAAGAAACGGAGGCUGUGAAGAGGGUAAAGAAGCUGUUAAUGAUGUCAUUGAAUGGCACUCUUCGUUUGCACGCCUUGAGGUUGUUCAAGAGAGAAUUGGGUCUCCCUGAAGAUUUCAGAGACUCCAUUCUUGGCAAGUAUAGUGCGGAUUUCAGAUUGGUUGAUUUAGAGGUUGUGUCGUUGGUUGAUUGGGACGCCGAAUUGGCGGUGGCUCAGGUUGAGGAAUGGAGGGAGAAGGAGUACUCUGAGAAGUGGUUGAGUGAGUUUGAGACCAAGUUCGCGUUCCCCGUUAGUUUCCCAACUGGGUUUAAGUUCGAGAGAGGGUUUAAAGAGAGGUUGAAGAAUUGGCAGAGGCUUCCUUACGCCAAGCCUUACGAGAGGAAAGAGGUUGUUCGGGUGAGGACGUGUGGAGGAAUCGAACGGUACGAGAAGAGGGCUGUGGCUGUUCUUCAUGAGCUGUUGAGUUUGACUGUGGAGAAGAUGGUCGAGGUUGAUCAGCUGGCUCAUUUUCGGAGGGACUUUGGUGUCGAAGUUAAUGUGCGUGAAUUGCUGCUGAGGCACCCUGGUAUAUUUUACUUAUCUACUAAAGGGAAGACUCUAACUGUUUUUCUUAGGGAAGCUUAUAGGAAAGGGGGGUUGGUUGAGCCGAAUCCCGUGUAUGAGACGCGUAGGAAUAUGUUGGAUCUUGUGUUGUUAGGGUGUAGGAAAACCAAACUAUUGUUAGAUUGUGAUGAGUCUAAUAAGGAAGAGAGUAAUGUUGUAGCCUGUGAAGUAAAUGAGGAAGGUGAAAGACAAGGAGAUUGGGUGAUUCCUUUCUUGGAGAAAUGUGAGGAGAAUAGAUCCCCUUGAUCAAUUGGAGAAAUUGUUAACAUGGUAUUGGGCUUAUUGAGUUCAUUGCCUUCUACUUUUGUUAUCCUGUGCAAUGUUUUAUUUGCAUUCUGUUGAUUUUGAUACACCACUUGCCAAUUGCCAUGUUUGUUAUUUGCAUUCUGUUAAAGAUGUGAAAUCUCCUGCUUGUUGCAUGUUCUCCAUGCAUACUAGCUCGCUCUCAAAUAACAAACAUUUACCAUCAAGGCAUUUUACAUCUGUCCAGUUGGUUUUCUCUCACAGGACCCUGGCCCCUAUACUCUACUCUUUGUACCUCCACUUUUUCUUUCUACCUUUGAUACAAUUUCAAAUUGCGAAUCAUCCGGUGCAAGAGCUCUAUAGUUUUUAUAUUCAUGGAGGUUCUUGCACAAGAGGCUUAUAACAUCGGGAAGAUCAAGUGUGCUGAAAAUCUUCUCAAGAAGAAAGGGAGGGACUUCAGACUUUUUUACCUCUUCACUGCAGAACAGCAGGAUUCUCUAAAAGGUGGUAAGUGGAGCCAUGUAGUUAAGAUGACCCGAGGAAGUUUAGGGUGAUUACAAAGACACUUGCUAAAAUGAAUGGUGUUACCAUUGCUCUCCCAAACAGUAUGAUGCUGACCAAAGUUUAGAUAACUCACUUUAGAACCUUUAUUUUCUUGAAGCUUAGGCAAGCAUCUGUAACUCUUGUCUGUGCUUCUAGUUAGCUUGAUUGUGUACAAUCAUGCUUGGACCUAUGUUUCAGUAUGUAUGAUAAUGAAUAUGAUAAGAGCACUAAGAAAUGAUGGUGCAAUGCAACUAGCAAAUAAUAUCUGAAGAAGCCUAUGGCUAUGAUAGUUA